UGAAAGGCAAUGAAAAGGAAUAGUAUCCACAAAUUGAUUGCAGAAAGCUGUUGGAUGAUGCGAAACAGUAUAAGAAAUGUGGUGAACUCGCCUUGGAGCUUCUGGCUGAAAUAUAGUAGGUCAUGACGGAAGUCCUCCGUUAUCGGGAUAGGCAUUAGUAGUGCCGAUGAGCGUAUGUUGAUCAUGAAAUAGAGUGGUACCGCGAGAGCUUUGUCUUUCGUCUCUAUA
rnacentral:ncRNA from 1 species